AGUGGCGGACGGGUGAGUAACGCGUGGGUAACCUGCCUUAUACAGGGGGAUAACAGUUAGAAAUGACUGCUAAUACCGCAUAAGCGCACAGGAUUGCAUGAUCCGGUGUGAAAAACUCCGGUGGUAUAAGAUGGACCCGCGUCUGAUUAGCUUGUUGGUGAGGUAACGGCCCACCAAGGCGACGAUCAGUAGCCGACCUGAGAGGGUGACCGGCCACAUUGGGACUGAGACACGGCCCAAACUCCUACGGGAGGCAGCAUG
rnacentral:rRNA from 1 species